rnacentral:rRNA from 1 species
UCAAGCUACAAAGAGCGCAAGGGGAAUGCCUUGGCACUGGGAGCCGAUGAAGGACGCGACUAACUGCGAUAAGCUACGGGGAGCCGUAAGUAGGCAUUGAUCCGUAGAUUUCCGAAUGGAGCAAUCCGAUUAAAGUCAUGUUUAAUCAUCAUACACUGAAUACAUAGGUGUAUGAGGGGAACCGCCUGAACUGAAACAUCUAAGUAGGGCGAGGAAGAGAAAUCAACCGAGAUUCCGCUAGUAGUGGCGAGCGAACGCGGAAGAGGCCAAACCGGAGGUAGCAAUAUUUCCGGGGUUAGGACUGCAAUAUGUAACUUUAAUCUUUAACUGAAUGCUUUGGGAAGAGCAGCGAUACAGGGUGAUAGCCCCGUAAGUGAAAAGGAUUGAGUGCUAGCAGUAUCCAGAGUACCAGCGGACACGUGAAACCCGCUGGGAAGAUGGGGGGACCAUCCUCCAAGCCUAAAUACUACUCAGUGACCGAUAGUGGAGCAGUACCGUGAGGGAAAGGUGAAAAGUACCCCGGGAGGGGAGUGAAAAAGAACCUGAAACCUUGUGCCUACAAGCACCGAGAGCACGUUAAAGUGUGAUCGGGUACUUUUUGUAGAACGGUCCGGCGAGUUAAUAUUUGCAGCGAGGUUAAGGAACUGGAGUUCCGGAGCCGCAGCGAGAGCGAGUCUGAAAAGGGCGUAUGAAGUUGCAGGUAUUAGACCCGAAACCGGGUGACCUAUCCAUGAGCAGGCUGAAGCGGUGGUAAGACACCGUGGAGGGCCGCACCCACGUCUGUUGAAAAAGCCGGGGAUGACUUGUGGAUAGCGGAGAAAUUCCAAUCGAACUCGGAGAUAGCUGGUUCUCCCCGAAAUAGCUUUAGGGCUAGCGUUAUUUUAGAUUACCGGAGGUAAAGCACUGAAUGGUCUAGGGGCCGCGAGGUUACCAAAGCCUAUCAAACUCUGAAUGCCGGAUAAUUGAUGAAUAGCAGUCAGACUGUGUGAGAUAAGUCUCAUAGUCAAAAGGGAAACAGCCCAGAUCUACAGCUAAGGUCCCAAAUGAACACUAAGUGGAAAAUGAUGUGAAACUGCGAAGACAACCAGGAUGUUGGCUUAGAAGCAGCCACUCAUUCAAAGAGUGCGUAAUAGCUCACUGGUCGAGUGGUUUUGCGCAGAAAAUGUAACGGGGCUAAGUGUUCAACCGAAGCUUAGGCAUUGCAGUAAUGCAUUGGGUAGGGGAGCGUCGUAUGCGGGGCGAAGUCAGAGCGGAAGCACUGGUGGACUGCAUACGAGUGAGAAUGCCGGAAUAAGUAGCGAGAAUUAUGUGAGAAUCAUAAUGGCCGAAAAUCUAAGGUUUCUUGGGGAAGGUUCGUCCGCCCAAGGUAAGUCGGGAGCUAAGCUCAGGCCGAAAGGCGUAGGCGAUGCACAUACGGUAGAAAUUCCGUAACCACCGAACAUUUAAGCUAGAGGGACGCUUUCUUUAAGGUUAUCCCGGGCGAUGGUUGCCCCGGGCGUAAGGGACCGAAAUAUAGUAGGGAAGUAACUGGCGAGAGAGACGAGAAAAGCUCUAGUGUAUACUAAGGUGCCCGUACCGCAAACCGACACAGGUAGAUGGGAUGAGUAUUCUAAGGCCAACGGGAGAAGGGUUGUUAAGGAACUCGGCAAAUUGGCCCCGUAACUUCGGGAUAAGGGGCGCCUGCGAGAGCAGGCCGCAGUGAAAAGGCCCAAGCGACUGUUUAGCAAAAACACAGCUCUCUGCUAAAUCGAAAGAUGACGUAUAGGGGGUGACGCCUGCCCGGUGCUGGAAGGUUAAGGGGAGUGCUUAGCGCAAGCGAAGGUGCGAACUUAAGCCCCAGUAAACGGCGGCCGUAACUAUAACGGUCCUAAGGUAGCGAAAUUCCUUGUCAGGUAAGUUCUGACCCGCACGAAUGGCGUAACGAUUUGGGCACUGUCUCAACAGCCCGCCCGGCGAAAUUGUAGUACCGGUGAAGAUGCCGGUUUCCCGCAACUAGACGGAAAGACCCCAUGGAGCUUCACUGUAGCUUGAUAUUGGAUCUCGGUAUUCCAUGUACAGGAUAGGUGGGAGGCUAGGAAGUAAGCGCGCCAGCGUUUAUGGAGCCAACCUUGGGAUACCACUCUUGGGAUAUUGGGAUUCUAACCUGCGACCAUGAAUCUGGUCGGGGGACACUGUCAGGUGGGCAGUUUGACUGGGGCGGUCGCCUCCAAAAGAGUAACGGAGGCGCUCAAAGGU